UGGAAGAUGUCACUGCACACCGGCAGCCUAUUUCAGUCUGCAGCAAUGUGCUCCAGACGACAUCACCAGCGGGAAGCCCUCACCUCCUGGUAUGUGCCAAGCCUGAUGGGAGAAGACAACUGCUUGCGUGGGGGUGGAAGGGCCGGGACAGACGCUCUGCAGACAUGCUGAAGACAUGAAGGGACCUGAGCCCUAGGACCAUGCCCCAGGACUACCUGACAUGAUGACUCCUUGCUGUCCCCAGUCCACCUGGCCGUGCUGCUGCUCCAGUUUCAACUGUUCUGCCUUAUUAUUAUACGACCAUGCUGGUCAUUUAUGAACAUUUGAACAUCUUGGCCAUGUUCUGUUAUAAUCUCCACCCGGCACAGCCAGAAGAGGACUGGCCACCCCACAUAGCCUGGUUCCUCUCUAGGUUUCUUCCUAGGUGUAGGCCUUUCUAGGGAGUUUUUCCUAGCCACCGUGCUUCUACACCUGCAUUGCUUGCUGUUUGGGGUUUUAGGCUGGGUUUCUGUACAGCACUUUGAGAUAUCAGCUGAUGUACGAAGGGCUAUAUAAAUAAAUUUGAUUUGAUUUGAUUUAGGCCAAUUGUGCAUCGCCCCAUGGACCUCCCGGUCGGUUGCGACAGAGCGCGAACCCAGAGUCUCUGGUGACACAGCUAGCACUGCGAUGCAGUGCCCUAGACCACUCUGCCACCCGGGAGGCCCUUAAUCAACAUGUUUUGACCAUGAAUGUUCACAAUCCAGAGUUACUCCAAGCAGUUUAGUCAGAGCCACAGUUUCUGAUAUCAAAAAGAAUUUACAGCAAAAGCACCACAAACGAUUAUGUUAGCUCACCGCCAAGCCACAGAAAAACACAGACAUUUUUCCAGCCAAAGAGAGGAGUCACAAAAAGCAGAAAUAGAGAUACAAUUAAUCACUAACCUUUGAUGAUCUUCAUCAGAUGACACUCAUAGGACUUCAUGUUACACAAUACAUGUAUGUUUUGUUUGAUAAAGUUCAUAUUUAUAUCAUAAAAUCUGAGUUUACAUUGGCGCGUUACGUCCAGUAGUUCUAAAACAUGCGAUGAUAUUGCAGAGAGCCACAUCAAUUUACAGAAAUACUCAUAAUAAACAUUGAUAAAGAUACGACUAUUAUACAUGAAACUUUUGAUAAACUUCUCCUUAAUGCAACCGCUGUGACAGAUUUCAAAAAACUUUACAGAGAAAGCAAACCAUGCAAUAAUCUGAGUACAGCCUUUAGACAACAAAGCAGCCAAAAAGAUACCUGCCAUAUUGGGUAGUCAACAUUACUCAGAAAUAGCAUUUUAAAUAUUCACUUACCUUUGAUGAUCUUCAUCAGAAUGCACCCCCAGGAAUCCCAGUUCCACCAUAAAUGUUUUGAUUUGUUUGAUAAUGUCCAUCUGUUAUGUCCAUAUGUCUUCUUUUGUUAGGGCGUUUGGUAAACAAAUCCAAAAGCGCGUUCGGCGCUGAACCUCGGACGAAAAGUUCCGAAAGUUCCGUCACAGCCCGUAGAAACAUGCCAAACUAAGUAUGGAAUCAAUCUUUAGGAUGUUUUUAACAUAAAACUUCAUUAAUGCUCCAACCGGACAAUUCCUUUGUCUGUACAAAUGAAGUGGAACGUAGCUACCUUUCACGUGAGCGUGCCAGACCGAGGUUGUGGCACUCUGCCAGACCACUCACUCAAAGAGCCCUUAUGAACCCCUCCUUUAGAGUAGAAUCCUCAAAACAGGUUCUAAAUACUGUUGACAUCUAGUGGAAGCCUUGGGAAGUGAAACAUAACUAAUACUUCACUGUAUAUUGAAUGGGGGCUGAGAUGAAAUACUACAAACCUCAGAUUUCCCACUUCCUGGUUGGAUUUUUCUCAGGUUAUGAGUUCUGUUAUACUCACAGACAUCAUUCAAACAGUUUUAGAAACUUCAGAGUGUUUUCUAUCCAAUACUAAUAAUAAUAUGCAUAUAUUAGCAUCUGGGACAGAGUAGGAGGCAGUUCACUCUGGGCACGCUAUUCAUCCAAAAGUGAAAAUGCUGCCCCCUAUCCCAAAAAGGUCAAGUGUUGCAGUGAUUUCACUUGCUGUGGCAGCUAAUGUGUAUAGUGUUGAGUCAUCAGCAUACAUGGACACACAGGCUUUACUCAGAGCCAGUGGCAUGUCAUUAGUAAAAGAUUGAAAAAAGUUAGGGGCCUAGCCAGCUGCCCUGUGGAAUGCCUGACUCUACUUGGAUUGUGUUGGAGAGGUUUCCAUUAAUUAAAGAACACCCUCUGUGUUCUGUUAGACAGGUAACUCUUUAUCCACAGUAUAGCAGGGGAUGUAAAGCCAUAACACAUUAAUUUGUCCAGCAGCAAAUUAUUCUCAAUAAUGUCAAAAGCUGCGCUGAAGUCUAACAAAAAAGCUCCCACAAUCAUUUUAUCAUGAAUUUCUCCAUGGAAUGCCCUUCCCUAUAAGCAUGCUGUAAAUCUUUUGUUCAUAUGUUUAUUAUGAAAUAACUUUGUAUCUGGUCAAACACCAUUUUUUCAAAAAGUUUAAUAAGAGUUGGUAACAGGCUGAUUGUUCGACUGUUUGAGCCAGUAAAGAGUGCUUUGCUAUUCUUGGGUAGCGUAGUGACCUUUGCUUCCCUCCAGGUCUGAGGGCAAACACUUUCCUGUAGCCUGUAGCCUGGCAAAUAGGAGUGGCAAUAUUGUCCACUAUCAUCCUCAGUAAUUUUCCAUCCAAGUUGUCAGACCCUGGUGGCUUGUCAUUUUUUCCCCUCUUCCAUACUCACUUUAUGGAAUUCAACAUUAAAAUGCUUGUCUUUAAUAAUUUGGUCAGUUAUGCUGUAUGAUGAGUGUGUCCAGAUGAGUGUGUUCAGAGUUUGCCCAUCUUCCCAAUAAAAAGUCAUUAAAGUAGAAGGGCAAUAUCAGUGGGUUUUGAGAUGAACGAGCCAUCUAAUACAAUGAAUAAUGAAGCGGAGCUUGUAUUUUUUCACAAAAUGUUAUGUCAGGUGCUCCAAAGCUUUUUACGAU
ensembl:lncRNA